GUCCAAUUUAUGUCGUCAAUGUGGAGUGAAUAUCUAACAAUAAAGCAGACGAAAACAGGAGCAUAAACCAGGAAAUGAGAAUGUUUAUUGUUAUUGUGACGUCAUUUACAACGACAUACCACGUCGAAUGAAAUUCCGCCAAAAUUUAAAGAACAACUUCGGACUUUUUUCAGGCACAACUAGUUAAGGGCACCACUCGGAAAGUACGGGGUAUGGACCGCUGUACUUCCAAGGCACUGCUUACCAUUCGGAAGUCAACUGAACGAUUCAUAGAAGAGCUCAUACUUUUUGUGUUUGAACAGCCAGAAUUUACGAGUAGGACAAAGCACAUGUUCCAGAAAGCAAAGUUGAAUAGAUUGAAUUAGGAGCUAGCUCUACUACAUCGUGACGUCACAGUGUUUCCAUGGAACCAGUUGUUGUAUAAAGAGUACCUCGAAGGGGACACCAAACAGGUCCUUAUGGGGGACCUACGAGAUUUCAGACGCCGAGUGACAGUAUGUUUCAUUGACAUUUUGAAAAUCGAAGGAGAUUUUAGGACAGCCAAGCGAGCAAAGAAGUACUACAGAGCAUUGUUUUACUUAAAAAGCGAUGACAGAAAAAAACAAACAGACGACUCCAAAACAAAUCGUCUCGGUAAUGCCAAAUCGAGACUGGCUGGGAUACUCCGGAAUAACUUUAAGCGUCAGAUUUCUGACAUUUCCGGUCCCCAAUCGCCCCUCUCUGAUACGGCGGAGGUACUAGAGGAAAAGGAUGAAUGGUGUCAGAGUUCCGAUAGCGAGGACAGUGACGGAGAUUAAUGUUUAUGAAUGUAUUGGCAGAUAUAUUCCACAGGGAACCUUUGUAUGGUACAUUAUUUGUAUUUACAUUCCACAGUGACAUGGACAUACGUUAUACGAUGUAUGUAUUGACAAGUAUAUUACACAGGGACAUGGGAAUUAAAUGUAGUUACAGUAUGUAUGGACAGGUACAAAUGUAUGUUUCACAGGGACCUGGGAAUUAACUGUAGUUACAGUAUGUAUGGACAGGUACAAAUGUAUGUUUUACAGGGACCUGGGAAUUAAAUGUAGUUACAAUAUGUAUGGACAGGUACAAAUGUACGUUUCACAGGGACCUGGGAAUUAAAUGUAGUUACAGUAUGUAUGGACAGCUACAAAUGUAUGUUUCACAGGGACCUGGGAAUUAAAUGUAGUUACAAUAUGUAUGGACAGGUAUAUUUCACGGGGAAAUGUGAAUUAAAUGUAGUUACAAUAUGUAUGGACAGGUAUAUUACACAGGGACCUGGGAAUUAAAUGUAGUUACAGUAUGUAUGGACAGCUACAAAUGUAUGUUUCAAAGGGACCUGGGAAUUAAAUGUAGAUACAAUAUGUAUGGACAGGUAUAUUUCACGGGGAAAUGGGAAUUAAAUGUAAUUACAAUAUGUAUGGACAGGUAUAUUACACAGGGACCUGGGAAUUAAAUGUAGUUACAGUAUGUAUGGACAGGUAUACUAUGUACAUGUAUAUUCCAUAGGAAAAUCAGAUAAUUAGUUUUAUGAUGCCUGUAUUGACAGGAAAUUCCACAGGAACAUGAUCAUUAUUAAUAGGAUAAAUGUUUGGACAUAACCUGAUGUAAAUGAAUAGGGAUGUAUACAAUCAAUAUUGGUGGUGUUUUUACAGAGUAUUAAUCUAAACCCCCAAAUCGUCCAAUAAUACUCCUUACAUAUCAGUCCAAAAAUACAUAUUCAGUAGCUGAUACUCAUGUCCCUGUGUUACAUCAGGUAUCUCCUAUAUUCCAAGGAAAGUGUUCAAGACAAAAUGAAAAUUUGAAUUUUAGUCUUUAAUGGUACGAGUAGAUACAUUUCUCUUUCUCUUUUUGUUUAGAUUGAAUGUAUUUGUUGUAUUUUUGUGGACGUUCAUUUAAAAAACGUCCGGUUAUAUUCAAUGAAUUUAACACAGCCACAGUGCAUAGGGACCCAGUACAACGAUAGAACAGAAAAAAUAUGACCUAUUGUGACUGGCGGUCUCCUUAUCCCUACUUAUACAUAUUUUAUGUAGGUUGGGGAUGUGGAAUGUUACAUGUCGAAGAGUAGUGUGCCCACAGUAAACGAACAAAUUGAAUAUAUAUAUAACUUUUGUUUAUUUUUUUUAUCAAUCUGUUUGUCACACACUAACUGGUUGUGAUACAUAACUUUUCUACUUCAUACUUACUCAACCGAAGAAAAUGUUUAGACAUAUAGGUGCCAAAUUUGUAAUACAAUAUACAUUUUCGGUCUUGUGAACAAAGAGCUUUGGAUGAUUACAUUGUCUUGCACUCUCUUAAUACAGAAUUAUGGCAUUUAUUCAUUAAAAAUAAAAAUAAACAUAUUUAGUUCAUGGCAUGUUAAUAGGAUGUAAAGAGAACCAAUCCCUAUAUAUUGGUGUGCAUGUGUUUUUAAAACUUGAAGCCACAUUAGAGCACCUUGUCUUAUACUAUCAGUUUAUGAUAUAAAGAGAGAAAAUCCCUUUAUACGUGUGUGUGUGUGUUUGAAAGAUAACGUCAUGUUGGAGCACCUUGUCUUAUACUAUCACCUCACGAUGUAAAUAACACUCUAUAAAAUAAAAAACUUAGCGAUGUUCAUUUAGUGCAAUGUAUAAAUAGUAUUUUCUUGUUAUAUUUCAAUACUUUAAGGGGCUGCGGUGUCAGAGUGGUUAAGGCGUCUGACCGUCUGGCUCACUAUAGCUCUCCACACUGGGUCGCGUGUUCGAGGCCUACUUAGAGCAGUCGUCAGCUGGUUCUUGGUGUAGGAAUCACACGUAAAUCUCAAAAUAUCAAUUACCUGGAUGUAAUACUAACCAACAGUUUGAAUACCUUCACGGGGUACUUAGGACUACUUGAGCAAAUGUAUACCUAGGUUAGUACAUUAACUCUGCAGUUUAAAUGGAUGUUAAUUUGUUUUGAAAAAGUAAAAUGUGAUAACAUAUUUAUAUAUGCAUUGGACCUCAAGGUUAUAAAAUCCUAUUCAUUAGCACGCUGUGAGCAGUGAUGUAACCUUGUUUUCUACAUUGCUUGUGCCUAAGGGCACACAAAUGUCCAGCUUUGCUUUGAGGAGACAUUAGAUGAUGAUAACAAUGUAAAUACCAAAAGUUUGACAAAAUAAUACAACGCUGGAUGAUUCCCUUUUACACAUAUGCUGUCCAACAUUUGACAGUGGACAACAACGCUUAUGGAAAAUUCAUUAACUUCAUUGUCACAUUUGCUGUGGUAAUUUACCUUUUUAAACAUUUCUUUUUUAAUACUUAAUAUAUAACAACAGCUGAUUUGAUACUGUGCAACUCAUUCGUCUUUUUAUCAGGGGUAAAAUGUAUUGGAGAUCCUAUCCCCAUCUCUAUUGAGCACAUGCCUUAGUAAAUUUACAUUAGAUGUGUAUCCACUGAAACAUUAAAAUUAAAAAGGGGGUCGCUCAAACCGAAUACGCCUAUAUAAUGACUAAGCAUAUAUUUUCCGUGAACUAUCUGCGUUUAACAUCAUGAAUAAAUAAUA